rnacentral:rRNA from 1 species
UCGAACGAGAAAUCUUUAGCUUGCUAGAGAAAGUAAAGUGGCGCACGGGUGAGUAACGCGUGGGUAAUCUGCCUCCGAAUCGGGGAUAACAUUGCGAAAGCGAUGCUAAUACCGGAUAAAAUCUGGUUGGCUUAGGUGAACCGGAUCAAAGGUGGUCUCUUUAUAAAAGCUACCGUUUGGAGAUGAGCUCGCGUACCAUUAGCUAGUUGGUGAGGUAAAGGCUCACCAAGGCGACGAUGGUUAGCUGGUCUGAGAGGAUGAUCAGCCACACCGGAACUGGAACACGGUCCGGACUCCUACGGGAGGCAGCAGUGAGGAAUUUUGCGCAAUGGGGGAAACCCUGACGCAGCAACGCCGCGUGAGUGAUGAAGGCUUUCGGGUCGUAAAGCUCUGUCAGGUGGGAAGAACCCACCAAGUGUUAAGACCACUUGGUGCUGACGGUACCACCGAAGGAAGCACCGGCUAACUCCGUGCCAGCAGCCGCGGUAAUACGGGGGGUGCGAGCGUUAUUCGGAAUCAUUGGGCGUAAAGGGCGCGCAGGCGGUUUUGUAAGUCAGAUGUGAAAUCCCGGGGCUUAACCCCGGAAGUGCAUAUGAAACUAUGAGACUUGAGUAUGGGAGAGGGAAGCGGAAUUCCUGGUGUAGCGGUGAAAUGCGUAGAUCUCAGGAGGAACACCGGUGGCGAAGGCGGAUUCCUGGACCAAUACUGACGCUGAGG